rnacentral:rRNA from 1 species
GACGAACGCUGGCGGCGUGCCUAAUACAUGCAAGUAGAACGCACAGUUUAUACCGUAGCUUGCUACACCAUAAACUGUGAGUUGCGAACGGGUGAGUAACGCGUAGGUAACCUGCCUGGUAGCGGGGGAUAACUAUUGGAAACGAUAGCUAAUACCGCAUAAUAUUAAUUAUUGCAUGAUAAUUGAUUGAAAGAUGCAAUUGCAUCACUACCAGAUGGACCUGCGUUGUAUUAGCUAGUAGGUGAGGUAACGGCUCACCUAGGCGACGAUACAUAGCCGACCUGAGAGGGUGAUCGGCCACACUGGGACUGAGACACGGCCCAGACUCCUACGGGAGGCAGCAGUAGGGAAUCUUCGGCAAUGGACGAAAGUCUGACCGAGCAACGCCGCGUGAGUGAAGAAGGGUUUCGGAUCGUAAAGCUCUGUUGUAAGAGAAGAACGGGUGUGAGAGUGGAAAGUUCACACUGUGACGGUAUCUUACCAGAAAGAGACGGCUAACUACGUG